GGCCUGAUGGUCUAGUAGUAUGAUUCCUUGUUAGGGUGGUUUAUUAUGUAAUCACGGUUCGAGGAGGUCCUGGGUUCAAUUCCCAGUUAGGCCC